rnacentral:rRNA from 1 species
GACGAACCGUGCGAACGUUAUUCGGAAUCACUGGCUUAAAGCGCGUGUAGGCGGGACGGCACGUCGGCCGCUGAAAUCCCCCGGCUCAACCGGGGAAGGGGCGCCGAUACGACCGCCCUGGAGGGACGUAGGGGGGGCUGGAACUUCCGGUGGAGCGGUGAAAUGCGUUGAGAUCGGAAGGAACGCCCGUGGCGAAAGCGAGCCCCUGGACGUCUACUGACGCUGAGACGCGAAAGCCAGGGGAGCGAACGGG